CGGAGGGAGCUUGCUCCCAAAGAUUAGCGGCGGACGGGUGAGUAACACGUGGGCAACCUGCCUGUAAGACUGGGAUAACUUCGGGAAACCGGAGCUAAUACCGGAUAAUCCUUUUCCUCUCAUGAGGGAAAGCUGAAAGACGGUUUCGGCUGUCACUUACAGAUGGGCCCGCGGCGCAUUAGCUAGUUGGUGAGGUAACGGCUCACCAAGGCGACGAUGCGUAGCCGACCUGAGAGGGUGAUCGGCCACACUGGGACUGAGACACGGCCCAGACUCCUACGGGAGGCAGCAGUAGGGAAUCUUCCGCAAUGGACGAAAGUCUGACGGAGCAACGCCGCGUGAGCGAAGAAGGCCUUCGGGUCGUAAAGCUCUGUUGUCAGGGAAGAACAAGUGCCGGAGUAACUGCCGGCACCUUGACGGUACCUGACCAGAAAGCCACGGCUAACUACGUGCCAGCAGCCGCGGUAAUACGUAGGUGGCAAGCGUUGUCCGGAAUUAUUGGGCGUAAAGCGCGCGCAGGCGGUCCUUUAAGUCUGAUGUGAAAGCCCACGGCUCAACCGUGGAGGGUCAUUGGAAACUGGGGGACUUGAGUGCAGAAGAGGAGAGUGGAAUUCCACGUGUAGCGGUGAAAUGCGUAGAGAUGUGGAGGAACACCAGUGGCGAAGGCGACUCUCUGGUCUGUAACUGACGCUGAGGCGCGAAAGCGUGGGGAGCGAACAGGAUUAGAUAC
rnacentral:rRNA from 1 species